CUACCGGGAAAAAAUAUAUUUGCCUUUGCCUACGUUUAUUAUCUUUUCUAGGCAAUUUUACAAAAAAAAAGAAUCGAAAAGCAUCUGUAUUUUUAAAGCUCUGCAUCUCCAUUUCCGUGCUUUUCCCGAUACUCAAAAUAAAUAAUUAAUUAAUUUUAAUACUAUUUUGUGUUUAAAAGAAGUUGCUGAACCAAAAAACAAAAUCUUAAAACUUUUACUUAUAAAAGUAAAAUUAGUGGCCACCAUUUUGGGUGAAUCGAUAUUUUUCAGCUUGUGCUCUUUUCUUUGGCGUGUUUUCGCAUUCGCAUAUUUAUUAAACGAAAACGAAGACAAAUUUAACGCGACGUCGCGGAGUAGAUAACUAGUAUACUGCUGCAUAAAAGCCUAUAUCUGUGAAAAACAAAAGCGACAAGAAAUGGCAGACGAAGACCUAUCACUGAACGAAGAUCAACUUCUGGAUAACUUGGAUGAUGCUAACGGAGAGUCGGAAAUUUUGAACGAGGAGGAAUCCAAUAUGCAAAUUGACCCAGAAUUAGAAGCAAUUAAGGCUCGAGUUAAAGAAAUGGAGGAAGAAGCUGAAAAAAUUAAACAAAUGCAAUCCGAAGUAGACAAGCAAAUGGCCGGCUCGACAACUGGCAUCGCUACAGUACCUCUUUCCAUCGAAGAGAAACAAGAAAUCGAUACAAGGUCGGUGUACGUUGGUAACGUUGAUUAUGGAGCUUCGGCUGAAGAAUUGGAGUCUCAUUUUCAUGGGUGUGGAACUAUUAAUCGCGUAACAAUAUUAUGUAAUAAGGCCGAUGGCCAUCCUAAAGGAUUUGCAUACAUCGAAUUUGGCUCAAAGGAAUUUGUGGAGACUGCUCUGGCAAUGAACGAAACAUUGUUCCGAGGCCGACAAAUAAAGGUUAUGUCAAAGAGAACAAACCGUCCAGGACUUUCAACGACUAACCGCUUUUCUCGUGGAAGUUUUAGAGGCAGAGGUGCCCGAGUUUCCCGUGCUUGCUGUCACAGUACCUUUAGGGGCGCAAGACGGCCAAUGUAAUUUAGGAUAAGGGGUUACCGUGGCAGGGCAAACUAUUACGCACCUUACUGAUUAUUGCUUUUUCCUUCUUAUUUUUAAGAUUUUUAUUGAAAAGAAAAAAAAAUAUAUAGUUCAAAAAACAUUAUAUGUCUUCUUAGUUAGUAAAAAAAAUGGAAAAAAAUAUUUAAUAACACAACAAAAGAAGGCUAUUAAGAAGAAUAAAAAAAAUAAAAAAUGAAAGAUUUCAUAAAAAGAAGAAAAAAAAACAAAGGAAAACAAACUAAAAAAAUAAAUAUACAUAAAAUAAACACAUAAAAUAACGAGCGCUUAUUAUUUCAACUAUAAUGUUUUUUGAAUGGGUCGAAAAUAUAUAUAAAAAUAAAAAAAAAAUGUUUUAAGAAAUAAGAAGAAAAAAAAGAAGAAAUCUAAGAUAUACAAAAAAGAAAAAAUAACGGAAAGAAAGAAAGAUUGAAAGAAAAAUUUAAAAGAUGAAUCAAAAAAAAGGAGACAAAAAAUUUAAAGAAAAAAAAGAACAAAAAGAAGUUAAAAAAAUCAACAACAAACGCAAAACAAGGAAAUGAGAAAAUCCCAAAUAAUAACCUAUAUAAUGAUUAUAUAAAAUAAAAUUAUUGAUAUGAAGAUAAAAUAAAAAAUAAUUCACACAACCGAGUUUUUUUUUUACUGUAAAGGAAUUAUUAAAUAAAACUAAAGACAAGAGGCUUA